CUCAGGCAGGAUGCUGCCCCAAGAAACAGGGCUGUGAAAACCCUGAACCUGAGCACAGAGUCUACCGGCCAGGACUGGAAACAGUCCCAAAAAGGUGGACUGUGAUCCCUACAGCUGAAGGGAACCUUUGGGGAAACUGAGGUAGGGGAUUCCAGCGGCAUGCUAUAGCACAAGGGGGUGUGCUCGAGGAAUGCAAACCCACCUACAUUUAUCUACCUUCCAGGGAGUUCUGAGGAUUAAUUGGAUCUUGGCAAAUCAGAUACCACAUAUGGAAUGAAGCUCUAAGUUGUUCAUUCACUGAUGUGUCUGCAGCAAUCAGGACCUUUGUGAAUGCCGAAGAGUAUGCAGUGUUCAAGAAACCAGCAAAAGUAUCCUUGGCUGUCCACCUCCCUGCCCCAAACUACUGUCAGACCGUUUAGCACACCCUACGCGCUGUUAAAUGUGCAUUGAUUAUCUGGCUUUAACAGCAUCAACAUUCACUCCAUCAAUGUUCAGACACCACUUUGGGAAAUAAAUAUCCAUAAAUCAUUCUGCUAACAUGACCCACCAA